rnacentral:tRNA from 1 species
AUUUAUAUAGUUUAAUAAAAACAUUAUAUUUUCACUAUAAAAAUAAAAUUUUAAUUUUUUUAUAAAUU